GUAAAGUUUCAGCCUCUGCACGUGACUCGCCAUGGCCGCUGCCGUCGCCCCGCGCCCCUGAGCUGCGGCCCCCCGGACGGCUCCUCUCCGAGGACCCCAAACCCCUGACGCCCGGCAGCGCCGCGGCGCCUGCUUGGGGCAGACCCUGUGCCCGCAGACGCGCAGACGGGUUGCAUCCCCUCGCUUCGAGGGGCCACGGUGAGCUGAGCCCUCGGAAGGGUCUGCUGGGGAGUUCUGCUGGGAUGCAGGGUGAUGGGCGGCUGAGGAAGGUAAUCCUAUCCCUUUGCAAUUGACAGAGAAGACACAGGCUGGGACAGUCAACAGAGGACACAGUAUUCUUCCACAGUGGCCUUGGCAAGAACUGACCCCAUCCUCAUCCUGGUCCCCAGCCAAAUGCUGCUUAUAUAUGCAUCCCCCAGUCUCCAAGCUUAAGCCCGGAGCUUGGAGCUUGGAACCUG
ensembl:lncRNA